UACGUAGGGUGCAAGCGUUGUCCGGAAUUAUUGGGCGUAAAGAGCUCGUAGGCGGUUUGUCGCGUCGGCUGUGAAAACCUAGGGCUCAACCUGGGCUUGCAGCCGAUACGGGCAAACUGAGAAUUCGGUAGGGGAGACUGGAAUUCCGUGGUGUAGGCGGUUGGAAUGCGCAGAGAUCAGGAGGAACACCGGUGGCGAAGGCGGG
rnacentral:rRNA from 1 species